GACGAACGCUGGCGGCGUGCUUAACACAUGCAAGUCGAACGGAAAGGCCCUGCUUUUGUGGGGUGCUCGAGUGGCGAACGGGUGAGUAACACGUGAGUAACCUGCCCUUGACUUUGGGAUAACUUCAGGAAACUGGGCUAAUACCGGAAAGGAGCUUCUGCUGCCAGGGGGGGGUUGGGAAGGUUCGGCGGUUGGGGAUGGACUCGCGGCUUAUCAGCUUGUUGGUGGGGUAGUGGCUUACCAAGGCUUUGACGGGUAGCCGGCCUGAGAGGGUGACCGGCCACAUUGGGACUGAGAUACGGCCCAGACUCCUACGGGAGGCAGCAGUGGGGAAUAUUGCACAAUGGGCGGAAGCCUGAUGCAGCAACGCCGCGUGCGGGAUGACGGCCUUCGGGUUGUAAACCGCUUUCGCCUGUGACGAAGCGUGAGUGACGGUAAUGGGUAAAGAAGCACCGGCUAACUACGUG
rnacentral:rRNA from 1 species